CGCUCUUCCUCUAAGUCCAUGAUGGGUUUCUUGCAUUUGAUCAUCCAUUUCCCAUUGUUAAAGGCACAGGCAUGUACUUGGCUGGAAUUGCUUCCUUUGUGAAGGAAUUUGCUCCUUGACCCUGCACUAAUUCCAUCAGCGGCUGCAAAGAUUGUUUCUGCUGUAUCUAACUGAUUGCAAACUUCCACCUCCAUCUUCUCAACUUGUCCUGUGUGGAAUCUGGCUGAACUGAUUUGAAAUAUGCUUGAAUCAAUCUGCUCCUCAGAAUUAUUGGAAGUUUGGACUUUGAAUUUGUUAGCCCCACCUUGAUAUUCCCCCAAUAAGUUCUGGUUCUCAUUCUGGCCAUCCUUAGCUAGAAUGUGUUGACCGAGAAGCUGUUCACUUGAACUGCUGUCUUCGGCAGUUAUCUGGUUGUGGUUGUCAUUNCAUUGUCCUCAGUGUCAUCUUGAUCAGCUUCAGAGGAACUCUGAGAUGAAUCAGAAAUUUGUAUACCCAUGGACAAUUCGUCAUUGGCAACUUGCUUUUCUUCUAUACUGGAAGCAAUGAUGGCCAUAUUUUGAUCACUUUCCAUCUCCCUGGACAUCUGGACUUCAUUUGUUUCAGCAUUGCCCAUCUCAUCAAAACUCUGAGAAUAAACAAUUUGACCUUGAAGCAACUCAAUUUUGUCUUCAGCUUGAAGCGAUUUAUCUUCUUGGUAACCAUUCAAAGCUUCGGUUGUUAUGCUGCUAUUGCAAUCUUUUUCAGCAUCCCUAAGCCGAGGAUUCUUUUCAAAGAUACCAUGCUCUGUUUCAUAAACUCCAUCCUCCUGAUUAUUCUCAUCAACUGCUGUUGAUUCCACAAUUGGCUCCUCCACUGAAGCUGAAGCAGUCACAGCACCAGUCGAAUCUUUCUCAGCAUCUUCACUCUUCUCUUCCACUGCUGUUGGUUCCUCAAAUGCAUAUUCAAUGGAAGAAACUUGUUCGUCAUAAGUUAAAUCACCAUCUGCUCGGGUAUCUUCAUGGAUCUCCCAAGUCUGCAGUGUACCUUCACUUUCGGAAUCACUAUCAAUCCAAUGUGUGUCAAAGGAGGCAGGUUCUUCUUCUAGGAGUUCUUUCAAUACCUCAUCAGCUAGAAUCUCCUCAGUGCAGUUGCUAACUGUGUCAUCUGAUCUAAUGUUCUCAGGUUCUUCAGUCAAAUUAAACUUCUUGAUGUCUGACAGGCAAUCAUCCCUGAUACAAGAUUCUUUGUCAGACUUGUCCAAAUAAUGAACUUCUGCAUCAAACCCUGAUGUGGAAAAUUGCUCCUCCUCCCACUCCAUUUCGCUAGCAUUAGAAAUGCUGUCAUCUUCCUCCAUGCUUGCAUGGACCUCUUCAAUGUGACUCUCGUUGUCACGCCUUUCUGUUCUUCCUUCUUCUUGGAACAAAAUGGGUGGGUAUUCUGCAUCCACAUCUUCUGCUUUUUGUUCUUCAAUAACGUCCUCUGUCAUCCAAAUCUCAGCCGGAUAGCUAUAAUUUUUCUGUCCAUAGUUUUCCUCGAAAUCAGUCUCCAGGUGUGGUGAUGCAUCCAACAGGUUCCCAUCAACUUGCUCCAUGUUCUCUUGUUCAGCUGCUGCUUCUUCGCCACCAUGGAAAAAGCACUCGCUGUCCCCUUUGUUGGGUUCUCCAGCAAAACCGAUGUUGCUCUCAUCAUCCUCCACUGUGUGCUUUUCAGUUGCUUCAGGGCCAACUGCUGUAUUUUUGGCAUAGAUUUCAACAAAGAAAUCCACAUCCACUUCUUUUACCACUGGAAUUGUUGCUGAGUCAAUUGAAUCUGCUUCCUUAUGUGGUGGUUUGUCAUCAGAGAAAAUUAGUAGUUGACUUCUAAUUUCUUCUGUUCCAUCACCAAACGUCUUAGCUCUGCGUGGGGAUAAAGCCUCCAAUUUUGCACUCUUUUGGACCUUCAGUGAACGCCUUCUUGCCUUCAAGAAGCACUUCAAUGGAGGCAAAGGACUGUGAUGAUGACCGUUAAGAGAGCAGUAGGUGUAUGGACAGACCUUCAGGACUGAAGUUCCUUCUGCCUCGUUACCCCCAGGAUUGAGCAUGAGAUAAGCAGGAAACUUCGAGUCCUUCAGAGUUGAAGAACAGGUGGCUUUCUGUGAAUCCAUAUCUGCGCAUAGAGCUACCCUGGAACAUUUUUUU
rnacentral:misc_RNA from 1 species